AGACGCUUAGUUCUUGAGUACUGCUAUUGUUACUCGUCAAACUAACUGGACUUCCUAAUCCACCACUGCCGCUGCUGGUACUAGCCAAACUCGAACGAUCGCCGUUGCGCUCAUCAUUAGUUCCUCCAUUUGUUACUGGCUGUUGGAUGGCUGUUGAUCUUUGCGGCAGGGAUUCUUGUCCAGGAGAGGUACCGUUCUAAGUUUAAAUUGAACAAAUUAAUUGACGAUUAAUAAAAUUUACAAACGAAAUGCCACGAAGCCAUACAAAACACGGUACAUUGACCACGACGUACAUCAAGGAAGGUAUUGGGUAAAUCAGCUACAGAAUAUUCUAAUCCACUGUAUAAGGCAUUACAUACGAUAUAUCAAGGAAGUUAAUCUACAAUAAAACAUCGGUUUGCGGCAAAACGUAGAAACCCAAAGAAACUUGCCAAAUACCCAUAGGCGUUACAGUAUGCAAGUUGGCAGAAAAGAGUUAACGUGACAUGUGGCUUCAGAAUAAAACGUGAAAAGGACAGAUGGACUAGAACUGGGGCCGAACAAACAGGACAAUAAGCAGAAAAUAAUAAUAAUAAGGGGAGAGUACCUUCCUACAGAAUACGGUGCUCAUCACGUUCAUGCAGAUACCGACGGGUCGUCUUACCUCCGAGCUGGUGGUGGUAGCGGUGGUGUCCCCUCCCUUGUCAACGACUUUUGCUAUUUGAUUAUUGGAGUGAUGGCCUAUUUUGUUGUUAUUUCGAUUGGCAUCUUUGGCUCCACUGUCUGGAGCACCGAUGUUGCCGCCAUUCGCCGGUAGAAGUUGGAUCACUUCAGUCGAGCUUAGCACCUGGUACGCGAAUAAGGCUAAUCCAGACGUCGGUCGAACUUUGCUGUUGACUCCCGGAAACGUCUGAAGAAGAACAUAAAGGUAUGUUUAAUUGAAAUCGAAAAAUUUCUUAUGACCAUGAAAAUUGCCUUGAUCAUUGCUCCAGACACUUCUGCAAAUAAAAGAUGAUCGGGAGAGAUUUGGCACAA
rnacentral:lncRNA from 1 species